ensembl:lncRNA
GGAGCACAAUCUCCAAUGCUGGGCUGUUUUCUCACUCUGACUGCAGAAAAGCAAUGGACUGGGGCCUUCUAAAUGUUCUGCCACCUGAGCCACUAACUCAAAUGUUGUGGUUCUGUACAUGUUUGUGGGGGAUGAGGCGUACCCCCUGUGGACUGACCUGAUAAAGCCCUAUCCAUAUCGACAGAUGGACCACGACCAGAGAAGCCGCAACUAUCGCCUCAAGGGCAUGGCGAGUAGUUGAAAAUGCCUUUGGCAUCCUCGCUAACAGGCUGAGGUUGUUUAGGUCCACCAUUUGCCGUGAACCAGACAAGGUUACGAAGAUCACCAUGGCCUUCCUCUGCGUACACAACUUCCUCAUAGAGCGUAGGUCUGAGGCGUACACGCCACCAGCGUUUGCAGACUGGGAAGAUGCUGACCACUGGAUCAUCGAGGGAGCCUGGAGGAGACAUGGACUGUGGAGCCUGGAAGGGGAUGUUAACCCCACAAUCAGUGCAAAAGAGCAACGCAACCUGCUAAGGGAUUAUUUUGUAUCACCUGCAAGUCAGGUUCCAUGGCUGGAGGAUCACAUUUAAAGGAAGAGAACUUAAAAGCCU